GGACAAUGGGCGGAAGCCUGAUCCCCCCAUGCCGCGUGAGUGAUGAAGGCCCUAGGGUUGUAAAGCUUUUUUACCCGGGAUGAUAAUGACCGUUCCCGGAGAAUAAGCUCCGGCUAACUUCGUGCCAGCAACCGCGGUAAUACGAGGGGGGCUAGCGUUGUUUGGAAUUUCUGGGCGUAAAGCGCGCGUAGGCGGUUUUUUAAAUCAGAGGUGAAAAUCCGGGGCUCAACCCCGGAAUUGCCUUUGAAACUGGAAAAUUUG
rnacentral:rRNA from 1 species